AGAGUUUGAUCCUGGCUCAGAUUGAACGCUGGCGGCAUGCCUAACACAUGCAAGUCGAACGGAAACGAUGCUAGCUUGCUAGCAGGCGUCGAGUGGCGGACGGGUGAGUAAUGCAUAGGAAUCUACCUAAUAGUGGGGGACAACCUGGUGAAAACCAGGCUAAUACCGCAUAAUCCCUACGGGGCAAAGCAGGGGACCUUCGGGCCUUGCGCUAAUAGAUGAGCCUAUGUCGGAUUAGCUUGUUGGUGGGGUAAUGGCCUACCAAGGCGACGAUCCGUAGCUGGUCUGAGAGGAUGAUCAGCCACACUGGGACUGAGACACGGCCCAGACUCCUACGGGAGGCAGCAGUGGGGAAUAUUGCACAAUGGGCGAAAGCCUGAUGCAGCAAUGCCGCGUGUGUGAAGAAGGCCUGAGGGUUGUAAAGCACUUUCAGUAGGGAGGAAAAGUAAGUAGUUAAUAACUGCUUACCCUGACGUUACCUACAGAAGAAGCACCGGCUAACUCCGUGCCAGCAGCCGCGGUAAUACGGAGGGUGCAAGCGUUAAUCGGAAUUACUGGGCGUAAAGCGCGCGUAGGCGGCUUAUUAAGUCAGAUGUGAAAGCCCCGGGCUCAACCUGGGAACUGCAUUUGAAACUGGUGAGCUAGAGUAUGGUAGAGGAGAGUGGAAUUUCAGGUGUUGCGGUGAAAUGCGUAGAGAUCUGAAGGAACACCAGUGGCGAAGGCGGCUCUCUGGACCAAUACUGACGCUGAGGUGCGAAAGCGUGGGUAGCAAACGGGAUUAGAUACCCCGGUAGUCCACGCCGUAAACGAUGUCAACUAACUGUUGGGCGGGUUUCCGCUUAGUGGUGCAGCUAACGCAAUAAGUUGACCGCCUGGGGAGUACGGCCGCAAGGCUAAAACUCAAAUGAAUUGACGGGGGCCCGCACAAGCGGUGGAGCAUGUGGUUUAAUUCGAUGCAACGCG
rnacentral:rRNA from 1 species